GCUCCCAUCGUCUAGGGGUCUAGGACAGCGCCCUCUCACGGCGUAGACCGGGGUUCGAAUCCCCGUGGGAGCGCCA
rnacentral:tRNA from 2 species